rnacentral:lncRNA from 1 species
AGUCGCUUAGAGGCUCAUGGGCUCUGUACUGCUUGAUCCUAGAUCCUGCCUUUCCAAGCAAAACUCAGAGACGUAUUUCCAGUGUUGCCAAGCUCACAGGACUUUUCAAACGACCCAUGAAGUCCUGCGCCUUCUUACAAAACUCCCUGUUUUUGGUGGGAGCAGCCUUGCUCCCCCUGUUCUUAGUGAUACUAAAGCUUCCAUGCAAAGAGGAAGGGCCAGCUCUGACGAACCAGAAUUUAGGAGGCAAGGAGGCGACCAGUUGUUUCCUCUUUUACAAGGACGCUUUGGGGAUGAGUCAGGAGGGAGCUCCAGGGAGCUCAUGGAUUCCAGAUGUUUCUAACUAGCCCCACCUGUGGGGUUGUCUGUGGAUCUGAGGCACACAGCAGCUUUUAGAAGGUUGGCUGUCCUCGGCUUUAGGACAGUGCUGGAAGUCACAUAAUACACUCUGACUGCUUGCUGUGUUGUAUCCCGCACAAGUACAGAUCACUUGUCUAAUAAGUCCUGAAACUGAUGAGGGCUCCCAGGUGAUGGGGUAAAUUGUGGGCCUGGGGACACACCAGUGAGCACUCUUCUUUUACUGGUGGGCCAGCCCAGCCACACUUGCUAAUAGUCUCAAGUUCUUGAGCCCUUAUUUUGCCUGCCUGUCUGCCUUCCCACCUCCCUCCCUCCCUUCCUCCUUCCUGUUUUUUGAUACAGUGUCUCAUAUAGCCUAGGCUUCAAACUUGCUAUGUAGUUGAAGAUAAGUUGAACUUCUGAUCCUUCUGCCCCUAACUUCUAACAACUAGAUUUUGAGGGGUGAACUGUUAUGCAUGGCCCAAAGCCUUGGAACUGGAGUUACAGAUGGUUUUGAGCUGGAUGCUAGAAAUCAAACCUGGUUCACUAAGGAGCAGGCUCUUAUCUUAGCCUCACGACUUGUUGCCAGUCACCUUUGCUCUUAGUUAUCUCAAUUUCCUUUUCUGUUGCUGUAAUAAAAUACCAAGACAGAAGCCGAUUAAGCAGAAAGUGUUUGGGCUGCAGUUUGAGGUUGCAGUUUAGCAUGGCAGGGAAGGAACAGCAGUAUGCUUGAAGCAGCUGGCCCACAUGGCAGGUCAAGGAGCAAGCAGAGAGUGAUGAAUGCUGGUCCUCAGAUAACCCCUUCUACACUCCAGGAUCCUAGCUAGGCCAGAGAACGGUGCCACCCAGAAGGAGUUAGUCUUUCCAUCUCAAUUAACCUAAUCAAGAUAAGCCCUCGGGUACACCCAGAGGUUCGUCUCCUGGGUGAUUUUAGAUCUCAUCAAAUUGCAAAUUGAGAUGAACCGUCCCAAUCCCUGACUAAAGCAAUUUAAAGAAGGAAGAAAUAUUUGGCUUAUAGUUCAAGGGGAUACAGUACAGUCAUUGAUGCAGCAGGCAUGGUAGUAGGGCUAGGAGGCAGCUGACCACACAGACCCUACAGAAGCAGAGAGCAAGAGCGAGAGUCAGAGGCAGUCCUGAGGUUAAUUGAACAAAUUAACAUCUCUUCACAUCGAUCCAAACAAAACUGCAAUCUCCUGGACAGAGGGGUGUGGACAAAGACUUUGGUGUGGAUUGUGGAAGGCAGGAUUCUGCUUCCAGAGCAAUUCUGCAUGUCAGGGAGUAGGAGCAGCGGCAGCAGCAGCAGCGGCAGCAGUAGCGGUGGCAGCACAAGGAGCUGAGAGACUAGAAGCACAGAGCUGAGCUGAGGCCAUGCAGCUGCUCACACUCACUGCAGGGCUGGGCCUGCUCUCUGUGGUUCGAGCCAUGAUGCCUCCUCUGACUCCUGCCAGUGCUGAGGAGGUGAUGGCUCUGGGGAGGGAGGACUGAGGGUAGCAACUGGCUUCCAAGCUCAGACCUUGGACUGGGUGUGUCUCAGGCCUGCUGAUGGAAGCCACAGGUGAUGUUGAAAAAAAAAAAACACCUCUCUCCUGUGCUUGGUGGGAUCUUCUCAGGUGGGAGUGGGGCUUGAGCAGGUGUUCCAGGCCAUGGUCCUGUCCUUCUUCUCACUGUGUGCACUUAGAGACUAAGAGGCUGCUGGGGGACAGGGGAGGCUUGCUAGGUGGAUGUGUGAGUGUGUGUGUGUGUGUGUGUGUGUGUGUGUGUGCGAGUGUGCGCUUCAGAGGCACUUCUCAUAUUCUUCCAAUAAGCUGAUUUCAGAUUUCAUCCAGGUUAAGGCCCCUGUGACUGUUGUGCAUCUGGGGGACAGAGCCAACUUCCUAAAGAUUUCAGGAGAAACUGAGAUGAAGCAGACCGUGGUCAGUUGGUACAGUCAUGUUUAUCUCAGGUCACCCCCUCAGCCGUGUCCAUUCUACCCUGUCGCCCGCCCAGCUCCCUGAAGUGAAAGGUCAACCUGUCCUCUAGAUCACCGUUCUCAGUUCCCUCUGGAUGCCUGUGCAGGGUCUGUGGUCAGGGCUCUUCCCAGGAAGUGUUUCUCCUAGGAGGCCUCUGCCCUGUCUGCCUGGUUCUACCUACUGCUGCUGUUGGUGAGAGACAGCUAUGGUCGGGACUCCUCCUGACAUCCUGGCAUCUCGGACCCUUCCAUCUUGCACUGAGACCUGACCACAUUCUCCUCCUACCUCUCACCCACCCUCUUCCUGAUUCCCUUCUCCCUGCAACUGUGUGUACUUGUGGCCUCCAACUGCAGAUCUUGGGAAAGUGGUACAUAAGUUGCUGGGCAGGAGACAUGCCUAUUCCUGAGUCGAGUUGGAAAGACCCGCUGCCUCCCUUCACCUUUGAGAGAAACAGUCUUGAUGAGUUGGAGUUCAGGAUGAACCUGACGUGAGUGGUCUCUGUGGAGGUAAUCUCUGCUGCUGCUGCUGCCAAACAGUUCUAAGUGUGACUAAGCACAGACUGCCUCACCUCUAGUAGUCAUUGAGGAAUGUGGCAUCUUCUGUGUUGCCUGGGCAACACACCAGGUGACCUCUUCAUGAGGUCAGAGAGCUAACUUGCUGUGGUCUAUGCCCAUGCUGAAUAGGGUGAGAGGAUUUCUUGUACAGGAUUACUUGCUUCUGGAGAGGCCAGCAUGGGCCCCAGAGAUAAGAAUGGGGAAGGACUGUGUGCCCUGGGGAGAGCCAUACUUGGAUGCUGUGUUCUAGGAAACCCAUUGGCUGUAUUCAGUACAAGCUGCCUCUGUAUGAGGGAGAGGACCCUGGCAUGUUCCUCACAUGGUGGAGGCAUGUCAUCUACAUCCAUUUCCUGCCUGGGAAGGAGUCUGCCAUUGCCUACUUCAGGGGCAAAAUGAACUAUCAGUACUACCAGAUGGUGAUGCUCAUGG